UUUUUCUUAUUUCUUCUUCUCUUUCUUUUUUUCUUCUGUGCUUCUUCUUUCUUUUUCCUGUCGAGCUCAAUUCGAAGAAUUGAGUUUGUUAUCGUGUGAGAAAUUUAUAGAAGCCUGUUAGUAUGUUGAAUCGAAGGUGCAGAUGUUUGUUUUAUGGUUGGUUUAGCCCGAGAGGAGGAGAACUGGUAUUGUUGUGAAUUGAGCUAGGGUUUCUGGAGAGGAUUGAAUUUGUGAGAGGUUGAGGAUGAAAUCGAGCUUUAGAUGAUGGGUUUUCAUUAUUGAGAACAAGGAAGAAGAAUUAUUCAUUGAAUCGAUGAAUUAUGGUUUCUCAGGAUGAAUAAGAAGAAUUAAUGAGUAGGUUUAAUUGAUUGAGUAUCGAGAUGGGGUUAAUUAGAUGUUAUAGAUUUAUUCUUGAGGAAAUGAAGAGUUGGGGUUUCACGGGAAAGCUCAGGGAAGAUUAAAAAGAAGAAGUUGUUGUUUUAGGAGAUUGAAUUAAGGUUGGGUUUGCUCUGAAUUGAAGUUUAGUUGGAUGUAUUGGGUUAAUGUCAAUUGUGUGAGAAAUUGAAUCAGAAAUUAGGGUUUUUGAGAAUUGAAGAUGGUGAUGAAGGUUGUUGGGUUGUGGUUAGCUUUGAGAUGACUAUUCAGUUGGGUCAAGAGAAUGAAGAAUCUGAUUUCAAUUUGGAUGAGUGGAAUUAUUGGAGGUAACUGUUCUUAUUAGAUAACUUAGUAAUGUUAUUUGAUUUUUCAUUUCUGAGUUUAUAAGUUUGUUAAUUGGAAUAAGAAUUAAGAUGAUACAAGAAUUGGUGGUUGUGUUGAAUUUGAUAGAUGAUUAUUAUGUGAGUUGAGGUUUAGCUGAACUGAAAUGGUUUGGAUGUGAAUCUACAGGGAUGAUUGAUGUUAUUGGUGAAGUGAAAUGGUUAGUUGUGGUUGUAUUAAUAUGGAAUGAAGUUGUGUCUAGUGGUGGUUAGAGUUAUGUUAUUAUAAGGGUAUGUUUUGAUGGAUGUUGUGAUGUGAAGAUAUAGUUUUCGGUGAGCGAAUUGUUGGAUGUUGCUGUAAUGGAUUAAAUGGUGUUGCAGUGCUAAAGUUUGAUUGUGCAGGUGAAAUAAAAUGGAGUUAAGAAAAUGAAAUACAGCUCUUUGGUUGAUUUUGUAAACUCAGGAAGUUGGGUUUGAGGUUGUUGUAAAUGAUAUGGGGUAGCUGUUACUUGGUACUAGUAAAUUAAGGAGGAGGUAUGUGUUAGUGGUGGUUUUGUAAUCUCAAUUAUGUAUUGAAGAAUGGUGGUGAUAUCUGUGUAGUGGUUAUUGCUGAACUAAAGUGGCAAGGAUGUGGAAUUAGAAGUGUUGUUGCUGAAUUAUGUGGGUGGUUUUGUUGAGAAUAGAAUGGCAGGAGUGAAUAUGUUGUUGGAGUUAUGUGAGUUGUUGAAGUAUAUAGAGUUUGUGUUACAAGCUGAGUUGUAGUUGACUUUAGUGAUGAUUAUAGAGUUGCAGUUAGUAGUUGUUGCAGAAGCUUUGAACUGCUGAAUUGCAGUUAGUCGUUAUUAACAACGGUCGAUUCGAAGAAUGAACCAGUGGAUCGUGGAUUUCGAGGUAGGCGUGGCUUGUCAUCAAAAGAGUUUCAGAGACAGAUCAGAGUUGCGCAGCGAAAGCUUUGAGGCGUUUGUUAGAUUACUUUUGCUAUGUUUAUUAUGUUGUAUUUUCUAUUUGCAAACCAUGACUAUUGUACAUGUACCAUUGGAGAGAAGUUUUGUAUAUAUAUAUUUCAAAAGGGGGCUAGUUUUUGGGUUAAGUU